rnacentral:rRNA from 1 species
GACCAUUGCUGGUGACCGACGUGGUUGAGCUGGUGGUGGUCGCAGAGAAUAGAGGGAAGCGACUGUUUAUUAAAAACACAGGUCCGUGCGAAAACGUGGAAGUUGAUGUAUACGGACUGACGCCUGCCCGGUGCUGGAAGGUUAAGAGGACCUGUUAGGGCAUUUUUUGUCCGAAGCGGAGAAUUUAAGCCCCAGUAAACGGCGGUGGUAACUAUAACCAUCCUAAGGUAGCGAAAUUCCUUGUCGGGUAAGUUCCGACCUGCACGAAUGGCGUAACGACUUCCCUGCUGUCUCAACCACAGGCCCGGUGAAAUUGCAGUACGAGUAAAGAUGCUCGUUACGCGCGGCAGGACGAAAAGACCCCGGGACCUUCACUAUAGCUUGGUAUUGGUGUUUGGUUCGGUUUGUGUAGGAUAGGUGGGAGACUGUGAAGUGGUCACGCUAGUGGUUGUGGAGUCGAAAGUUGAAAUACCACUCUGAUCGGAUUGAGCACCUUAACCUUGGCCCAUGAUCUGGGUUGGGGACAGUGCCUGGUGGGUAGUUUAACUGGGGCGGUUGCCUCCUAAAGUGUAACGGAGGCGCCCAAAGGUUCCCUCAGCCUGGUUGGCAAUCAGGUGGUGAGUGUAAGUGCACAAGGGAGCUUGACUGUGAGACUGACAGGUCGAGCAGGGACGAAAGUCGGGACUAGUGAUCCGGCACCUACUUGUGGAAGUGGUGUCGCUCAACGGAUAAAAGGUACCCCGGGGAUAACAGGCUGAUCUUCCCCAAGAGUCCAUAUCGACGGGAUGGUUUGGCACCUCGAUGUCGGCUCGUCGCAUCCUGGGGCUGGAGUAGGUCCCAAGGGUUGGGCUGUUCGCCCAUUAAAGCGGCACGCGAGCUGGGUUUAGAACGUCGUGAGACAGUUCGGUCUCUAUCCGCCGCGCGCGUUGAAACUUGAAGAAGGCUGUCCCUAGUACGAGAGGACCGGGACGGACGUACCUCUAGUGUGCCAGUUGUCACGCCAGUGGCAGGGCUGGUUGGCUACGUACGGGAGGGAUAACCGCUGAAAGCAUCUAAGCGGGAAGCCUGUUUUGAGAUGAGGUUUCUUUUGAGGUUCCCUCUAGACUAGGGGGUUGAUAGGCCAGAUCUGGAAGCGUAGUAAUGCGUUAAGGUGACUGGUACUAAUUUUACCGAGUAAUAACAUUGU